rnacentral:rRNA from 1 species
GAGUUUGAUCUUGGCUCAGAUUGAACGCUGGCGGCGUGCCUAACACAUGCAAGUCGAGCGGCAGCGCGGGGUAACCUGGCGGCGAGCGGCGGACGGGUGAGCAAUGCUUGGGAAUCUGCCUAUUAGUGGGGGAUAACCAACCGAAAGGUUGGCUAAUACCGCAUACGCACUACGGUGGAAAGCGGGGGAUCGUAAGACCUCGCGCUAAUAGAUGAGCCCAAGUCGGAUUAGCUAGUUGGUGAGGUAACGGCUCACCAAGGCGACGAUCCGUAGCUGGUUUGAGAGAACGACCAGCCACACCGGAACUGAGACACGGUCCGGACUCCUACGGGAGGCAGCAGUGGGGAAUAUUGGACAAUGGGCGAAAGCCUGAUCCAGCGACGCCGCGUGGGUGAAGAAGGCCUGCGGGUUGUAAAGCCCUUUCGGUUGGGAAGAAUGUAUUGACCUAACACGUCAGUACCUUGACGUAACCAACAAAGAAGCACCGGCUAACUCUGUGGCAGCAGCCGCCGU